rnacentral:rRNA from 1 species
UACGUAGGGUCCGAGCGUUGUCCGGAAUUAUUGGGCGUAAAGGGCUCGUAGGCGGUCUGUCGCGUCGGUAGUGAAAACUCAGGGCUUAACCCUGAGCCUGCUUCCGAUACGGGCAGACUAGAGGUAUGCAGGGGAGAAUGGAAUUCCUGGUGUAGCGGUGAAAUGCGCAGAUAUCAGGAGGAACACCGGUGGCGAAGGCGGUUCUCUGGGCAUUACCUGACGCUGAGGAGCGAAAGUGUGGGGAGCGAACAGG